UACGUAGGGGGCAAGCGUUGUCCGGAAUCAUUGGGCGUAAAGCGCGUGUAGGCGGCUUGGUAAGUCCGUUCUGAAAGCCCGGGGCUCAACCCCGGGAGGCGGAUGGAUACUGUCAAGCUCGAGUCCGGAAGAGGCGAGUGGAAUUCCAGGUGUAGCGGUGAAAUGCGCAGAUAUCAGGAGGAACACCAAUUGCGAAGGCAGCUCGCUGGGACGUUACUGACGCUGAGGAGCGAAAGCGUGGGGAGCGAACAGG
rnacentral:rRNA from 1 species